UACGUAGGGCGCAAGCGUUAUCCGGAAUUAUUGGGCGUAAAGAGCUCGUAGGCGGUCUGUCGCGUCGAUCGUGAAAACUUGGGGCUUAACCCUGAGCUUGCGGUCGAUAGGGGCAUGACUGGAGUUCGGCAGGGGAGACUGGAAUUCCUGGUGUAGCGGUGAAAUGCGCAGAUAUCAGGAGGAACACCGGUGGCGAAGGCGGGUCUCUGGGCCGAUACUGACGCUGAGGAGCGAAAGCGUGGGGAGCGAACAGG
rnacentral:rRNA from 1 species